UACAGAGGUCCCGAGCGUUGUUCGGAUUCACUGGGCGUAAAGGGUGCGUAGGUGGCGAGGAAAGUCGGAUGUGAAAGCUCGGAGCUCAACUCCGAAACUGCAUUCGAUACUGCCGUGCUUGAGGACUGGAGAGGAGACUGGAAUUUACGGUGUAGCGGUGAAAUGCGCAGAUAUCAGGAGGAACACCGGUGGCGAAGGCGGAUCUCUGGGCCUUACCUGACGCUGAGGCGCGAAAGCGUGGGGAGCAAACAGG
rnacentral:rRNA from 1 species